rnacentral:SRP_RNA from 1 species
GCCAGGCAUGGUGGUGCAUGCCUGUAAUCCCAACUACUCGGGAGGCUGAGGCAAGAGAAUUGCUUGAACCUGGGAGGUGGAGGUUGCAGUGAGCCAAGAUCGCGCCACUGCGCUCCAGCCUGGGUAACAAAGCAAGACUCUGUCUCAA